UCUUCCUUCUGGAAGCCUUGAGCUGAGUCCUCCUUCGGGACUCCUCCCACUGAUGCCUCCCAUCAUGUACCCACGGGAUGCUGGUAGAUGUUUGUGGUCAGCUUUCUUUUGUUCCCGUGAGGUGGAUUCGAGACUCUGAGAAAGAAACACCCCUUCUCAAUUCCACCACAAGUUCUGCCUCUUCAACCCUCAAAAAAUCCUAAUUGUCAAGAAAUCACAUCUUAUGCAUUUUGGUGCUCCACAACACUUCCUGAAGGCCUGUGUGAGGCAGGAGCUCAAGAUCUACUUGUUCACUGCAUGGUUGUUUGUGAUCUGUCACUCAGUGAGUGACCAAGGGAAACUACCUCUGAAGAGAGCAGACACCGACAUUUCCUUCCCUCCCCGUAGAUGAAUGCUGCAAUGCAUUUCAAGGGGUAGAGUCUAAGUCCCUUUCCUUUCCUUUCCUCUCCCCUUUCCUUUCUUUCCUCUCCCCUUCCCUUCCCUUCCCUUUCCUUUUCCUUUCCUUUUUCCUUUGUGAGACAGUCUCCCUCUGUUACCUAGGCUGGAGUGCAGUGGCACCAUCUCGGCUCACUGCAACCUCCGCCUCCAGGGUUCAAGUGAUUCUUGUGCCUCAGCCACCCAGGUGGCUGGGAUUACAUGCAUGCACCACCACAUCUGGCUAAUGUUUGUAUUUUUAGGAGAGACGGGGUUUCACCAUGUUGGCCAGACUGGUCUUGAACUCCUGGCCUCAAGUGAUCUGCCUGCCUCGACCUCCCAAAGUGCUGGGAUUACAGGUGUGAGCCACUGCGCCCAGCAAAUUCCCUUUUCUUUGAAUUGGGGCUGACCUUAGUGACUUAAGAGUGGAAGGGACAUCUUGUGUCUUCCCGGGCAUGGAGUUAAGAAGCCUUACGGGUCUCAUCUAGCUCUCUUGGAACUUUGCUCUCGAGACACUCCUUCUCAGACCCCAGCCCCCAUGCUAAGUGGACUCCUGAGCCACCUGGAAAGGCCGUGCAUCAACUCUCCAGUUGAUUGUCCCAGCUGAGUUCUCAGCAGACAAUUAGCAUCACCUACCGGCCACAUAAAUGAGCCAUCUUGUAUUUGCAUCCAGUUGAGUCUUGCGCUAACUGUAGCACUAACCAAUAUCUAACAACAAUCACCUAAGAGAUCCCACAUGAAAACUGCUGAGCUGAGCCCAGUGAACUCGCAGAACCAUAAGACACAAAAAUCAAUUGUCCAGUGAUGAAGUGUUGGGGCCAUUUGUAAUGCAGAAAUAGAUAACCGGAAGAGUGACUAAGCCAGGAAGAGAACCUGGAAGAAGUUGUCUUGAUCACCGAGGAGUCUUACUGGAGUGAACAAUGCCCCAUUUCCAGGUGAAUGGCAAUGGAGUAGUUGUCCGAGGGUACUCAAUACUCAAGAGUCAGCUGAUCAUGUCCUUAGAUGCACCAGAAAUGAUGGAAUACCUGAAGCUGGGAAUUUAUAAAGAAUAGAGGUGUAUUUGGCUCACAGUUCUGCAAGCUCUACAGGAAGCAUGGCAUCAGCCAGGGCUCAGCUUCUGGAAGAGUAGAAUAACGCUUAAUCACCAUUAUCACUGGAGAUGGUACCAAGAUGAAUCUGCGUAAAUGAACCUUACUAGAUACCCCUUAUCUAACCUAUCUAUAGUUUCCCCCUUAUAUUUACUUUCCCACAGUUUACAACCCCUAGAAGCCCAAACCCAUUUUUCUUUGUCUAGUUACCUCUCCACAAUUUGUCACCCUUUGUUAAAAUGAUAUAAACUCUCAGGCCUAACCACUGCUUUAGGUUUCACUUCUUUUCUGUGA
rnacentral:lncRNA from 1 species